UAGUGGCAAACGGGUGAGUAAUACAUGAAUAAUUUACCUCUAAGAGAGAGAUAAUCUCGAGAAAUCGGGCCUAAUAUCUCAUAAUGUCUCAGUUAGAUAACUGAUUGGGAUUAAAGGUUGCUUCUGGUAAUCGCUUAGGGAUAAGUUCAUGUCCUAUCAGCUAGUUGGUAGGGUAAAAGCCUACCAAGGCUAAGACGGGUAGCUGGUUUGAAAGAAUGGUCAGCCACAGUGGCACUGCGACACGGGCCACACUCCUACGGGAGGCAGCAGUGGGGAAUAUUGGACAAUGGGCGAAAGCCUGAUCCAGCGACACCGCGUGGAGGAUGAAGGUCUUCGGAUUGUAAACUCCUUUCAGGGAUGAUGAGCUCCGAUGUUAAAUCGGAGGGACAGUAAUCCCAGAAGAAGCCACGGCUAACUACGUGCCAGCAGCCGCGGUAAUACGUAGGUGGCGAGCGUUACUCGGAAUUACUAGGUGUAGAGCGUGAGUAGGUGGUUUGAUAAGUUGUAAGUGAAAGCUCCAACAAGAUUGGAGAGGUCUUAUAAUACUGUCAAACUUGAGUAUAGAAGGGGGAACCAGAAUUCCCGGUGUAGCGGUGAAAUGCGUAAAUAUCGGGAGGAAUACCGAUGGCGAAGGCGGGUUCCUGGGUUGUUACUGACACUGAGUCACGAAAACGUGGGGAGCAAACAGGAUUAGAUACCCUGGUAGUCCACGUAGUAAACGAUGGAAACUAGAUAUGGGAGGUGUUAACUCCUUCCGUAUCGAAGCUAACGCGUUAAGUUUCUCACCUGGGGAGUACGGCCGCAAGGUUGAAACUCAAAAGAAUUGACGGGGGCCCGCACAAGCGGUGGAGCAUGUGGUUCAAUUCGACGCAACGCGAAGAACCUUACCCGGGCUUGAAGAACUGGUAGUACUCUGGCGAAAGCUUUGAGGACCCGUAAGGGAGCCAGUAGAGGUGCUGCAUGGUUGUCGUCAGCUCGUGUCGUGAGAUGUAUGGUUAAGUCCCAAAACGAGCGCAACCCUUGCCUCAUGUUGCUAAUCCCGAUUUAUCGGGAAGCACUCUUGAGGGACUGCUCCGGUUAACGGAGAGGAAGGUGAGGAUGACGUCAAAUCAUCAUGGCCUUUAUGUCCGGGGCUACACACGUGCUACAAUGGCUACUACAGAGGGAAGCUAAUUCGCAAGGAGGAGCAAACCCCAAAAAGUAGCCUCAGUUCAGAUUGAGGGCUGCAACUCGCCCUCAUGAAGGAGGAAUCGCUAGUAAUCGCUAAUCAGCAGGUAGCGGUGAAUACGUUCUCGGGCCUUGUACACACCGCCCGUCACACCAUGGAAGCUAACUGUAACAGAACUUCGAUGUAGAUCGUAGGAAGUUAUGGCUAGUGACUGGGGUGAAGUCGUAACAAGGUAACC
rnacentral:rRNA from 1 species